rnacentral:antisense_RNA from 1 species
GCACAUGUUGAUGUGGUUGAUGUGUAAAAAAGCCAACUCAUACAAGGUUCUGGCUUCAUCUUUAUAAAAUAGUCCGGAAAUUUCAGAGAAAGAUGAAUCUGAUUUUCCAAGAGAGGACAGCUGUGGACUAUCUGGCACUGGAGACUAACAGGACAAAAUUUAAAAAACGGACUCUUGAGCAGUAUAAAGUUUUCAUCGAGUCAAAUAUAUUCACUUUAAAGUGACUGUGCUUUAUUCUGAUACCAUGUCCUUCCUAAUUUUGGGGCACAGCUGGAGAAAAUUCACUGGCAAUGGAAUAUUUAAAAUUAGAGCUUGCUUAGUGCUCUGCUUCUGAUCACUACUUGAUCCCACUUCGUGCUUUCAUGUUAAUUGGCCCAACUGGACUUUACAGUUGGAAGGUGAAAACUUACUAUUUCAACUUGACUCAUGUAUGUAUUCUUACCAUAUACUUCUUAAAUGUACUAUUUUUUUUCUUCUGAUAGUCACCACACCAAGCACUUCCAGCCACCCUGCCACAGACUUCCUUUGUAAUCACUGCUGAAGGACAUGAUGUUUUUAUGACUUCCCGAAAUGAAAACCCUAUCUUGUUUUUA